rnacentral:rRNA from 1 species
CCCUUAGAUGUUCUGGGCCGCACGCGCGCUACACUGACGGAGGCAGCGAGCGUGUCCUUCGCCGGCAGGUGCGGGCAAUCUUGCGAGUCUCCGUCGUGCUGGGGAUAGAUGGUUGCAAUUGUCGAUCUUGAACGAGGAAUUCCUAGUAAGCGCGAGUCAUCAGCUCGCGCUGAUUACGUCCCUGCCUUUGUACACACCGCCCGUCGCUACUACAGAGUGCCCGUGUCCAAGAAACGGUCGGACCUGUGCGGCCUCUCCGGGCGACCGGAGGGCCGUUACGGGGAAGACCCUUUAUUUGACGCGGGUCGAUGAAGUAAAAGUCGUAACA